UUAUGUAAAAUAUCCUAUAGGUAAACAAGAGUUUGUUCAUAUAUUUUUUAAAUGGUUGGUGGUCGGCAUAACUGCUAUGAUAUUUAGAUUUCAUUGGAUUCAUUUAAAAAUAUGACCGUUUUAUUUGAAAAUGCUGAUUUUUAUAGUAUGUGGGAAAUUCCAUCCUUUGCAACUACUUAAACUUACAAUGAAAAAUCUUAGAUGUCCAUUGAAAAAUAUGCAAGAGGGUCCAUAGUAUUUCAUGUGUGGGCAAAAAUGUUUGAAAACCACUGAUUCAUUUAUCAACCCCCUACUGGGGGUUGUUUCCAUUUCUAAAGAUUGUGGCAAUAUUUGUUCUUCUAAUCUGUUGAUAAUUUUUUUUCUUAAAUUAGAAACGCAACUAAAUUUCCUUUUAUACAGACCUUACAUUGUGUUUAUACAUACUCACCUCCUCCCUACCGUCUAUGAAUGGGAAGGACCACUUUUUGGUUUGGUUUGGUUGUUAAGACUUUGGAUUCUGGUUUAAUCAGCAAUUACUGUCUUCCUGAAAGCCUCAGAAUGCUUUUGGGGGUCUAAAAAGAAGAAUCAUGAACUUAAGUAUAAGGAGUCUGUAGAUGAUGGAAGGUGGAAGCCAGAAAAUUGGAAAAGGGGAAACCAACCAGAGAUAGCGUCUGAAUUACCCAUUCAGGUAGUGCCCAGGGAAGACAGACAAAAAGAAGAACCACUUCUAGGAGCCAAGGUGAAUACUCAGUCUACCCUGAGGAAGAGCAAUGUGUUACCUGCAUCCAGAGCACUCACUCCUCUGCCUUGCCUGAGGCCCAAGACUCAUGUAAAAUGGUACCUCAAAGUUUCCCCAGAUUUGCCUUGCCACCUUGUGAUUUUUUUCGUCUAUGUAAUCUCGUAUAAUUAGUGGAGUAUUCAGAGUAUUCCUUCUACAGUAUUCCUGCUGGGAAUUUCUAAAUGUUUUCUUCCUGCAGGUCUAUGCUUAAACUAGAAUCUUUAGUGAAACAUUCUGCUUGCAUGGUUUUGGUACACUUUGUUAACUUGGUCUAAUUUGGGGAAAGGCCAGGACAAAUAAAAAUAUACCUCUAGUUUUUUGUAACUAACUGGGUAACAGUUAUAUUUAGAAAAGUAUGAAAGGAACCCACUUUAAUAAAUAUAAAAGUUACGCAAAAAUAUCAUAGCAAUGCAUAUGCUCCCUGUGCUAUUUAGAAAUAUCUUUUAGAAGUUUAUUAUUUUAACACUGAUAAUUUGCUUAGCCAAGGUGAGAUAUUUUAAUUUUCAUAAAUUCAUUCAUCAUGUCAAAAGUUAUUGGAUCUUAUUGUAUAUUAUGUUAGGUACUAGAUGAAUAUGACAUGAUCCCUGCUUUUGAAGAAUUGAUGGUCUGUGGGAGAAAUGUAGCUAUAAACAGGUCAGAACAAAACAUGAAUAUAAACAAUGAUGAAAGCCCGAAGGACAGAGCUGCCAUCUCUGCUUGGGCAAGUCUGGGAAGGAAGUGAAGGUUAAACUGAAUCUUAAAAGAUUAGUGGGAGUGGACCCAACCAAAAGACAGUAGAAGGGAAGGAACAGUAUCCAGGAUGCAGGGAGCUAAGAGAACACAUGAGAUGGCCACACUUUCUUCCCCUCCCCACCUCCACCAGGUAGAGGGUGGUACCCUAGGCUCCCUUAUGGAUGAACAUAAGUCCCCACUCCCUUCCCUCAAAGUACAUCCUAAUACUCAUACAUCACUUCCUAUUUCUGCAGCUCAACCAGAAAUUCACAUUCUCUCAGUACAGCUGCUCUCUUACAAGUUUUAGGAGUGCAACCUGAUUAAAGUUAUCUACUUAAAGCAAGAAUUCUUCCUUGAGAUACCAGUGUUUUAAAAAGAAAACUUGUGUACCCAAAUGAAUCUUAAAGUCACGGAAAUAUAGAGGGCAGAAUUCUUUAGCAGGCAGAUUUCAAGGUUCCCCUUGUGUGUUUUGGUCUAGUCUCUACUUCCCUGAAUGAUACAAGUUAUGGGGAGGCAGGAACUCAGUCACCAAAUCCUGAUAAUUUUCUCUUGGCACAGUCUCCCUCUUUGGCAUGGUUUUACUCAUCACAUUAUCACAAGCUAGAAAUCUUGUGUUAUUGUAAAUGUAUCUGUUUCUUUCUUCCAUUUUCUGAAUUCCUGAAGUUGUCCUAACUUCAGGAUUGUCCUAACUUCCUGAAGGGUCCUAACUCCAGCUCUCUAGGAGUAAUGAAUGAAAAGGAAUCUUAAGAAUGAAUCUUACAAUCAACUUCUACCCAUUGGUAGCUUCCUGCUCACAUCCCAGCCCAGCCCACCCAAAGACCACCCAGACUUUCUAGCACAGAAGCCCAAGUUUCUUGGAGAGAUGAGGAUGCAUUGAUAAUCUGGGAGCAGAGGGUCUGUUCUGAUAAUUCCUUAUAGCUUAAAAUUAAGAGUCUCCCAGAAGUAGGACAGAGGAAAGAGGCCAAAGUCACCCCCCCACCUCCCAUACAAGGCCACUGUCAUCAGCAGACUCCCAUUGUCAGCACAGCAAGAGCAGCUGAAAGUGAUCCCUGGAUGUUGAUGACCUUGGUUGCAGCUUUAGUCUCAGUCCUUCCUCCCACCCCAACUUCUGUCUGUGACUGACAGGCUGUCCGUGCCUGUGUGGGUGUCUGUCCAGUCAACCAGGAAAGCUCCAACCUCACUGGUAAUUCCUUGGCCUCAGUCCCAGUCUGCCUGACAAAUCCAGAAAUUAUCCAGCCUCAAUGUCUAUCCAUCUCAUCUCAUUUUUAUUAAUUGUUGCACAGUCUGACUGUCUACAUCUCUCCCCAAUUACUUCUAGGCCCAAUCCUCAUAAAAUUAAAAAUCCAUUUCUACUUGCUAACCCAGAAUGGGCCUCUACGUUGUUGUUUCUUAGAAUAUGGCCUGUACAAACCACCUGGGAAAUUUAUUAAAAAUGAAGAUUCCUGGGACACACUCUCAGAAAUUCAGAUUCAUUAGUUCUGAUGUGAAGCACAAGAUUCUGCAUUUUUAACAAAUCUUAGAGAUAAUUUUCAUGCCUCCUAAGUUUGAGACCUAUGGCCUUAUAGGUCCUUGUCCUCCAACUUUCUAAAGAGAAGGUGACAUCACAGGUGUGGGUCCCAGUCAUUUGUCUGGUUGCUGUGAGUCCUAGCCAUGUUUCCUUCCCAUUGAGUAUCUUAGUAGGGUAUGUCGGACAGAAAACCCAGGACUGCUAUAUAGAGCUUGUUAGCCUAGGCCCACAGAUAUGUGGCUUUAUGGCUGAGGGGCUAUCCCACACAUGUUGUAAGAAUUAUUUGUUAGUGAGUUUAUCAAGCUGGUUUACAGCCUACCGAGCCACACCCUAAGAGGGGAACUCUGGUCUUGAGUUCUGUGUCACCACCCACACUGAUGUCAGAUGGAGCCAGGUUCUUGUCAGUUACAAACACAUGAGACCCCGCCCAAUCACUGGAGCCACACUUUAUUGGAGAGGGAGGAGUCAGAUCUCUGCUAACGCAGUGGUCUAGCUAGGUCUCCACAGGGAACAGGGAAUCCCUACUGCCUCCCCUGCCUGGGUCUAGAGCACUCCCACCCCCUCCCCCCAGCCCAGGGGAGAAUGUGUCAGAUGACACUGCAAAGUCCCUGCUGGCCAGGCCCUAAAACACCCUAAUGAUCUUUUGGUGAUUUACUUCUUUCAGAGCCAGCAAAAUGAACUUUGCUUUUACAACUUCAGUCUUUUGGUGUCUUCACAUCCUGCCCCAGUUCCAGCCUCUCUGUCAAAGCUGCCUUCUUGCACACCCACCGACACUCAUCCCUGAGUGGCAGCUUCCAGCCACCUCUUUGGACACUCAGCUUGAAGGUCCUUUUCCCCCUAUGUAGUUGGAAUGAGUCAGUGUUGAUGAUUAUCUCUCUACCAACAUGAUUAUCCCAAAUUCCAGAGCUGCUUGAACACCUCCCAGAAGGUACUCAUAGCUCUAGGAACCUCAUGCCAUUCAUCCUCCUGGUGGAAUCCUCUAUAUCCCAUUCUGUAAGAUGAUUCUGCCCUAGAAGCAGCUUCACCUCAUUUCUCAGGCCCCUGACCUCCUGGGCAUCUAGCGACUGUGUCCACUGACUCUAUCUUUAGGUCCUUCCUACAUAGGCCCAGCAUGUUUCACUGCUGACCACUCUCUGAAGAAGCUAGUACCUUGGCAGGGUCACUUUUCCUGGCCCCAGUCCCACCUGUUUCUGGCUUCUUUCUCCUGCCACCAACUGGCAGUUCCAACAUGUCUUGUCCACACCCCAGUCCUGAACUCCACCCUGAUGGUAAGGACUCUUUCCCACUGGAGCCAGCCAUGAACUCACCUUCAGACUCCCAGUACUUGGGACUCGAAGACCCCUUGCCACUUGUUGCCCAAAUUUUGACUGAGGCUGCUAUGCUUCCUGGUAUUGGUGGCUCUUCCACUGGCAUUAUUCUCUGCAACUAGGUUAGUUCUUCAAAGCCUGUCCCAAUCUAGUAGGUAGGGCUCAUGCCAAGUCUUGACUUCUCGUCUUGCCACAUAUGACCAGAGUAGCUUACCAUACUUACAACCAAAUUUCUGAUUCUGAGGCAGAAGAGGAUCACCCUUUAGUGUCAGUUUUGUAAAUUCAGUACUGCUGUGGGGCAGCCGUGAGGAACCAACUGAAGAUGCACAGUAGUGCUAGAUCUGUGCUAUAGACUCAAGGUUCUCCCCUUGAGAAGGGUGGCUGAGAUCCUCAGGAGCAGGCUGGCAGGGGUGUCCUUGAAACUGACUACUGCUGUGCAUCCGUCCUACUUAGGGUCAGCACAAAUAGUUUACCAUGAUUUUUUUUUUCCUGAAUCAGUUUACUGGUAUUUUAACUGAUAACUGUUUUCCCACAUUCUCUAGACAAGCUUCAGUUCCUUAGUCUGAGACAUCCAGUCCAAGCACACCAAAAAUACCCCUUACCUUCCAAAUCCCUAUUGAAAAUAAUCCUCUGAUCGGUCAUUCGUGGAAGACCGGCAAAUUUUGUCCAUGUACUCAUUCAUCGGUUCGUUCAGUCAUUCAUUCUUGCAACAGGUAUUUCUUGCUGACUAUGUGCAAUGCCCAGGGGUGAGCUGGGAACACAUGUGCAUGAGCAAGAUCCUGUCUGUGCCUUCCCAGAGCAUCUGAACUACCUCAUCUGGCUGAGGCGUGGGGGGAGGAAGGCUUUCCAGAGGCAGUGAGCACCGAGCAAACGCCUGGAGGCUAAGUGGGUGUUUUCGCAGACAAAGAAGAGAAGAUAUGACAAAAGCUGCAGCAGAAAGAAAUGCUCAGUGGUGAGAGGGGGGCUGGCUGCUGAAGAACUGAAAGAAGCCCCACACGGGAGGAAAAUAACCUGCAACAGAAAUGAAGGAGGCAGGUCAGGGAGCAUCUUAGGAAGUCAUGAGCCUCGUGAUGCUGUAUGUGUUUCCCUUGUACAACUGCAAGGCCCAAGAGGGCAGGCAAGGGCUGUGUUUGGAUGUCCAACUCUGAAUCGCCACAAUUCAGCAGAGUGCCUGGCACAGAGGAUGUAUUCAGUGAACAUUUGCUGAAUAAAAAUGAAUGAGUACAUGCGGAGACUCAGUUCACCUCUGUGUGGGAGACCAAGCUGGACCUUGAACAGGAAGACUUAGCCUCGGCCCGACUUCCCAGAUAAGCAUCUUGAGAUCCGUAGAGCCAAGUCAUCAGCCUAGAUACGGCUUCCUCUGUUCUCACAGAGGGAGAGGAGCGAUGGUCUCAACAUGCUGCUCAUCUUGCUUUCCGCCGUGGGUACGUCGUGAUCAGUAUCGUGAUACAAAAAGAAGAAACGCAAAGCAAUGAGAGCGCGCUAUGGUAAUCUUCACCCUCGAGAUCGCUCGCAUGGAAAAUAAAAAGAUUUUAGAACAUAGGCAUUUAUAUUGUUUUUCUGAAUAAAGAAAAUUGUGCAAUAAAA